rnacentral:rRNA from 1 species
ACGGGUGCGUAACGCGUGGGAAUCUGCCCUUUGGUUCGGAAUAACAGCUGGAAACGGCUGCUAAUACCGGAUGAUGACGAAAGUCCAAAGAUUUAUCGCCAGAGGAUGAGCCCGCGUUGGAUUAGGUAGUUGGUGGGGUAAAGGCCUACCAAGCCGACGAUCCAUAGCUGGUCUGAGAGGAUGAUCAGCCACACUGGGACUGAGACACGGCCCAGACUCCUACGGGAGGCAGCAGUGGGGAAUAUUGGACAAUGGGCGAAAGCCUGAUCCAGCAAUGCCGCGUGAGUGAUGAAGGCCCUAGGGUUGUAAAGCUCUUUUACCCGGGAAGAUAAUGACUGUACCGGGAGAAUAAGCCCCGGCUAACUCCGUGCCAGCAGCCGCGGUAAUACGGAGGGGGCUAGCGUUGUUCGGAAUUACUGGGCGUAAAGCGCACGUAGGCGGCUUUGUAAGUCAGAGGUGAAAGCCUGGAGCUCAACUCCAGAACUGCCUUUGAGACUGCAUCGCUUGAAUCCAGGAGAGGUCGGUGGAAUUCCGAGUGUAGAGGUGAAAUUCGUAGA